rnacentral:rRNA from 1 species
CAUUAUUGAAUACUGAAUCGGUUCUGAUGCUGGCUCUUCACUGGGCAUGUGCUCGUCCGUUCAUAUCUACCUUCUCUUGUGCACAUUUUGUAGUCCUUCGGAACAAGUGAAUUUCGCGCUGCUGUGAUUGACUUCGCGGUGGUUGCGGUUGGGAGAUUGGGUGUAACAGCCCUUCCUCUGUUUAUGCGCGUUGCUGUGAUUUACUUCGUGGUGACUGCGGUUCGGGGGUUGAGCGUCAGCACUUCCCCUGCCUUUGCUUUUUUCCAAGGCUAUGUUUUCAUAUACCCUAUACAAUGUUACAGAAUGUCUUUAACGAUUGUGCUUGGUCGCAGUCAUUAAACCUAUACAACUUUCAGCAACGGAUCUCUUGGCUCUCCCAUCGAUGAAGAACGCAGCGAAAUGCGAUAAGUAAUGUGAAUUGCAGAAUUCAGUGAAUCAUCGAAUCUUUGAACGCACCUUGCGCCCUUUGGUAUUCCGAAGGGCAUGCCUGUUUGAGUGUCAUUAAAUUAUCAACCUUGUUCGCUUUUACGAGCUUGAGCGAGGCUUGGAUGUGAGGGCUUGCUGGCUUCCUUCAGUGGAUGGUCUGCUCCCUUUAAAUGCAUUAGUGGGAUCUCUUGUGGACCGUCACUUGGUGUGAUAAUUAUCUAUGCCAUUUGACUGUGAAGCAAAAUUAUGGGAACCUGCUUAUAACCGUCUCGCAAGGGACAAUUUAAUUGACUAUUUG